CAUCCAUGACUUGUCCCAACAGAAAAAGAGUUGCAAAUAUCAUUCCUUGUUACUCAAGCAUUUGUUGAGACGCUAUUUGAUCCUAUGGUGGAUAUAGUUAAAAGGGAAUUGGUUGGAGCAACAACCAUCAAAAGAGAAAGAGUUUAUGCUGGUCAACUUGUUGUUUUUGAUGAGGAUAUGAUUAAUGCAGCUGUAAGGGCUGGUGUUGGUGCUGAAAAAAGUGGUGGGAAGAAAAAUUGUUGGUGUUGGUGGUUCUGAAAGAAUGUUGACACCUUUUUCUGGGGCUGAAAAAAGUGUUGGGGCUACCUCUUGUAAUAAAUGUUUUGGCUUUCAAUGUGGUAAGUGGUAAGUGCUAGAGAAAAGAUUAUGAUGUUGUCAAGUGUCUUCAAACAUUGACCGAGGCUGUGAAAGAAUUGACAUCCAAGAGGAGUGUCAUUCCAUCAUGGAAGCUUCAGGAUCCAUAUACUCUACAUGUUAAGAGGAGAAGAAAAUUGUUUGUCAAGGCAAUAUAAAAUAUGGAAAAAAAAAGUUAUUGGAGAAUUGUCAAUGACCAUAAGAGAGAAGUCGGUGCUUAAGAAGUAAGUUCUUAGCCUCAUGCGGGAGAGGCAUAUCAGAUUCAAUGAGCACUAUGAUUUCACGGAUAGAAUCAUGGAUCUCAACUUCUAUGGUUACUUCAUAGACAAGUUCAAGAUAAUGAGCGAGGAAACAACAACAGCUGGUGGCAGAACCUUAAAGCAGUUACUUGCUGAGUUUGUAUGGCAAGAUGAUGCCGUUGACUAUGUUAGAGGGAAGAGACCAUAUCCUGGUGGCAUGGAUUGGAUAGGGGCAAAGAGGAUUCUUGCAGUCAUGAACUCAGGGAAAAAACAUUUUGACUCUUGAGAUCCUCUUGAACGAGGGAGUCAGUAAUGUUUAUGACUGCAACAUUGUUUUGAUGAAGAGAUACUACACAUAUGUGGGUCUUUCAUUCCAGCUAACACAGGAAAUGUUCAAUAGUUGGAAACGAAGGCAGAAGAGUCUCAAGCUUACAGCAUUACAGAAAAGAGGUUAGGCAACAAUAGGGCUGCUGAAUUGCUUGAGCCUGAUAACUUAGUACCUUACUGGGAAAAGCUGAAAUCUGAAAAUCAUAUUAAGAAAUCGAGAAGAUCUAAAAGCAAAGACAGCUGAAUGUGCUAAUUGUAUGCAUUGCAUCACGACAUUUUUUUGUAAGAACGGACCGGUAGAGAUGGCCAAUGUACACUGUUUUUUGUUGUUGUUACUGUUCAUGAUGGGCAAAGAUAAUACAGGAGGAAGAUGAAACUUUAAUUUGCAUAAUCUAUAUCAAUGUAAUCUUCUGAUUAAAUUUGUGCUGCUAAUAGCUUUUACGUACAUUUUUUAAUCCUAAAUUUUGCUCAACUAAAUGCUGAUAUGAAGAUUGGUUGAUUGUUUAUUUCUGCAGAUUUUUAUGCCACUCUUAAUUUGAAUUUGGCGCAGUGGGCUGCCUUUUCUACUCUUAUCAAGUUUUUUUU